GCCUCUGUGGCUCAGUGGUAGAGCGCGUCCUUGGUAAGGACGAGGCCGCGAGUUCAAUCCUCGUCAGAGGCU
rnacentral:tRNA from 1 species